UACAGAGGUCUCAAGCGUUGUUCGGAUUCAUUGGGCGUAAAGGGUGCGUAGGCGGCGCGGUAAGUCGGAUGUGAAAUCUCGGAGCUUAACUUCGAAACUGCAUUCGAUACUGCCGUGCUUGAGGACUGGAGAGGAGACUGGAAUUUACGGUGUAGCGGUGAAAUGCGUAGAUAUCGUAAGGAAGACCAGUGGCGAAGGCGGGUCUCUGGGCCGAUACUGACGCUGAGGAGCGAAAGCGUGGGGGAGCGAACAGG
rnacentral:rRNA from 1 species